rnacentral:lncRNA from 1 species
CUAGUAUUUUUGGGUUUAAUAUAAGAAAAUGAGUGAGAAAGUGAAGUACUAGAUAGGUAAGGGAGAAAAGCAGUGAGAGAAGAGAUAGAAAAGAGAUUGCGACAAUGGUGGAUUCCGUUUAGUUUUUAUAGAAAACGUAGAUGAACGUUGAAAAUUGUUUAGGAGGACAAUUUUAUACCAUUCUAUCAAUUGGGUUUUUUGAGGAAUAUAUUUAAUUAUAAUGGCAAAAUUGACAUUUCACUUAUCUUAUGUCAAAGAAUAAAUAGUGAACUAACAGUAACAAAAUAUAGGGACAAAUAUAAAUGUUGUGUUUCUGAGCUUUGGAUAGGAUUGGCUUCAGUAAUAGUGACUGGUCGACAUAUCUGGAGAGUGUCGGACUGAGUCGGAGUUGUUUCUGUGCGAAAUGGAUGCAGAAAUAGACUCGGUGCACUCAAUUAAGAAAAACUGGAGUUUUGCCAUAUUCGGGCGCCCAGAACUGGUUUUGGAUCGCCCAGAAGUUGAGUGCAAAACUGAGCAGA